rnacentral:RNase_P_RNA from 2 species
CGAGUCAGCCAGACAGUCGCUCCCGUUUCUUUUAACAGGGGAGGAAAGUCCGGGCUCCCUUGGGUAAAGUGCCAGGUAACGCCUGGGAGGCGCGAGCCUACGGAAAGUGCCACAGAAAAUAAACCGCCCCUGGCCAUUGGCUAGCGGUAAGGGUGAAACGGUGCGGUAAGAGCGCACCGCGUAACGGGUAACCGUUGCGGCAAGGUAAACCCCACUUGGAGCAAGACCAAAUAGGAACUCAUGGUUGCGUCCUUGAUGCGACUAAAAGUGCGACCCGCACUGAGUUCGGGUAGGUCGCAAGAGGUGUCUGGUGACAGGCAUCCCAGAUAAAUGGCUGUCCACGACAGAACCCGGCUUAUCGGCUGACUCAACUG